rnacentral:rRNA from 1 species
UACGGAGGGUGCAAGCGCUAUCCGGAUUCACUGGGUUUAAAGGGUGCGUAGGUGGGCAGGUAAGUCAGUGGUGAAAUCUCCGAGCUUAACUCGGAAACUGCCGUUGAUACUAUUUGUCUUGAAUAUUGUGGAGGUAAGCGGAAUAUGUCAUGUAGCGGUGAAAUGCUUAGAUAUGACAUAGAACACCAAUUGCGAAGGCAGCUUACUACACAACGAUUGACGCUGAGGCACGAAAGCGUGGGGAUCAAACAGG